AGCAACCUGCUGGGGUCCAGUUCCAGUCUGUGGGAGGUUUGUUCUUUCGCUCUUCUCAGUGACUCUUGCUGUUGCUCACUUUUUGGGGCUGCGCUAAUCUUUAUGAGCUGUAACACUCACUGCGAAGGUCUGCACUUCACUCCUGAAGACAGCGAGACCACGAAGGGAGACCACCGGGAGGGACGAACAACUCUGGAGUGCCAGCUUUAUGAACUGUAACCCUCACCGCGAAGGUCUGCAGCUUCACUCCUGAAGUCAGCGAGACCACAAACCCAGCAGUAGGAAGAAACUCCAGACACGUCUGAACAUCAGAAGGAACAAACUCUGGACACACCAUCUUUAAGAACUGUAACACUCACCACAAGUGUCCGCGGCUUCAUACUUGAAGUCAGUGAGACCAAGAACCCGCCAAUUCCGGACACAGUAGCUGGGAUUACAUGCGCCCGCCACCACACCCAGGCACUGAGAGUGGCAAGGCCAAAUGGAGAAAAAUAAUUCAGUCGACUGAGAAAAAAACCUCUUUCUAGCAAAACAAGAUCCAAGAAAAGAAAAACGUAAAGGCCUUUUAAAUAUACUUAUGACUUAUAUCCACUUAUAAUUAACCUGGGUGCUCUUUAAGAAAAUCUUUUUAACUCUCUUAUAACCUUAAUUUAGCCACGCCAGGGGGCCAAUAUUUCUGGCUUUCAAACUUCAUUAAAGGCUCAGAGAAAGGAAAAUUCAAGGCUGUUUGUGGAGGGGAAGAGAACAGAGAGCAAAGGUUGCGUAGAUACCAAACCAGAAAGGACUCAUUCCCUACACCAGGAUUGAACCCCAGGCCACCAUUGUAAAAUGGCGGAGGCCAAAACAAAACCAUUGUCACGUGGUUGCAGGCCACACUCCCAAAGAUGUGAAACAAGAUGGAGGCCUGCCACAGAGUUUGCUGCGGACUAUACAGAAAGACAUGGAAAGCACACCAGAUUGGCUACAACUCAAGACCAACCUCAUAAAUCCUUUUUCAUAAUUAAAACUUUACAGAGAAUAUAAACAGUGAUCUCUAUUAUUUUUGGCACAUCAAAAUGUCUUCCAAAAGGGAAAAAAAAACUCACUUAAAAGUCAACUGCUGACAGGGUAGGGAAAAGAAAAAAGAUGCCUGGGGAAGAACGUUUUAUUCUUUUGCAAAUGAGUUCCUCCACCAGGGAGAGUAACUUAAUUGCUGUCCGAUGGAGUGGGACCCCUUGGCUGGGGGAGGGGAAGGCUCUGUGGCUGUGUGGCAGGGAGCUGGCCAGCCUGCCUUUGGGCACCCUUGGGCCAUGCAUUCCAGCCCUGGCCAGGAGGGGAGCAGGAGAGCCACCAUUCACUGAUCUAUCCCACGUGCACCUGCAGCUGUUGUGGUGGGGUGGGGUACAGUUUUCUCUAUCCUCAGAAGAGGUAUGAGGACAAAAAGGCUUAGAAGCAAAAGAAAAAAAUGAUCUUUUGGUUUGCGUGAUACUCACCCUCCCUCACGCCCUAUGUCUGGAUGCCAAAAAUAUCAUAGAAAAAAAAAACUGCGUUCUUGUCACACGACCAGGAAAAGUUAGACACGCAGACGCUUUUAAGGGUGAGGGAGAAUGGAAUUUAUUGGGUGAAAAGGAAGAUAAACUCUCAGCAAAGUGAGAGAGGUUCCUGUUAACAGGCCCCCAUCUCACAGAUUGAGAAGGAACCACGCUCCUCCCCCUGCAAAUGGCAGGAACUUCCCAAGGCUCCACCCCAUCCACCCAGUGGGCAGGCCAGUGGAAGAUUCUCCAGGCCCCCUUAUCUUCCUUCUGUAUCUCAGGAGUUUGAGGCCAGCCUGGCCAACAUAGUGAAAUCCCGUCAUUACUAAAAAUACAAAAAUUAAUAGGGCAUGGUGGCACAUGACUGUAAUCCCAGCUACUCAGGGUGCUGAGGCAUGAGAAUAGUUUGAACCUGGGAGGUGGAGGUUGCAGUGAGCCAGUGAGCUGAGAUCAUGCCACUGCAUUCCAGCCUGGGUGACAGAGUGAGACUCUGUCUCAAAAACAAAAACAACCAACAAGACACUGCUGUACAAGUGAACUGAGAUAUCUAGUACAAAAUAAGCUUUGGGCCAGGUGCAGUGGCUCACACCUGUAAUCCCAGCACUUUGGGAAGCUGAGGCAGGUGGAUCACCAGAGAUCAGGAGUUCGAGACCAGCUUAGCCAACAGGGUGAAAACCCGUCUCUAGCAAAAAAUACAAAAAUUAGCUGGGUAUGGUGGCAUUCAUCUGUAAUCCUAGUUAGGAGGCUGAGGUGGGAGAAUCGCUUGAACUGGGGAGGUGGAGGUUGCAGUGAGCCAAGGUUGUGCCACUGUACUCAGCCUGGGUGACAAAGUGAGACCCUGUCUCAGAAAAAAAAAAGAAAAAAGCAAGCAAGCUUGUUUAUCCUAAGAAAGACUUUUUAAUAAGAGGGUUUGCCUUUGGUUAAAAGCUAUCUUAAAAAUUAGAUCUUUUAGUUUAUUUGUACAGUCAUAGGUUAGAUCUGAUACUGGUAAGACUGAUCUGGGGCUGAAGUCUCCUGUAUCUUAUGAAUAUCUUAUGAUUCUGUGAGUGAAUUCUGUGUGAAUGCUGAUAUAUGUAGAUGUCAAAAAAAGAGCCAAACUCUGUAAAACAUUUGAAGAGAUAUAUUCUGAGCCAAAUAUUAGUGGCCAUGGCCCAAGGCACAGUCUCAAGAGGUCCUGGGACAUGUGCCCACGGUGGUUGGGUUACAGCUUGGUUUUAUACCUUUUAGGAAGACAUAAGACAUUAAUCAUUGAUACAUGGUUUGGUCCAGAAUUGCAGAACAAUUUGAAGUGGAGGCUUACAGGUCAUAGGUAGAUUUAAAGAUUUUCUGAUUGGCAACUAGGCACGGUGGCUCAUGCCUGUAAUCCCAAUACUUUGGGAGGCCGAGGUGGGCAGAUCCCUUGAGACCAGGAGUUUGAGACUAGCCUGGCCAACCUGGUGAAACCUGAUCUUUACUAAAAAUACAAAAAUUAGCCCAGCAUGGCACAUGCCUGUAAUUCCAGCUACUCUGGAGACUAAGGCAUGAAAAUCACUUGAAACCUGGGAGGCAGAGGUUACAGUGGGCCAAGAUGGCACCACUGCACUCCAGCCUGGGCAACACAGCAAGACUGUCUCAAAAAAAUAACCAAAAAAACACAAACACGCAAAACCAAAAAAUUUUCUGAUUGUCAAUUGGUUGAAACAAUUAAGUUAUGAUCUGAAAGCCUGGAAUCAACAGAAAGAAGUGUCUGUGUUAAGAGAAAGGGUUGUGGAGACCAAAGUACUUAUUAUGUAGAUCAAAUGUCAGAACUGGCCACUCUUAGAGAUAAUAAGUGGCAAAUAUUUCCUAUUCAGACCUGUAAAAAGUGCUAGACUCUCAAUCUCUUCAGGAUUGGGAGGGUCUGGAAGGGAAAAUAUUUCAUUGUGUUAAUAGAUUCUUUACAGGAUGCAAAUCUCCCCCCAACAAAAGACAACUCCACAGAAUCAUUUCAAAGUAUGGCAAAGAAACAUAUUUUGUGUUAAAAUAUUUUGAUUUCCUCUUUAUCCGUCAUGUGAUGUUAUGCCAGAGUCAGGUUGGAAAGUAUUAUAUAGGGUUAAAUGCAACCCAUCUGGCAAGAUUUUAUGGUGUGUAGAGCAUGACUCCCAGGCCGCUUAGAUAGAAAUUUGGGCAAAAGGCCGGGCGCGGUGGCUCACGCCUGUAAUCCCAGCACUUUGGGAGGCUGAGGCGGGCGGAUCAUGAGGUCAGGAGAUCAAGACCAUCCUGGCUAACACAGUGAAACCCCAUCUCUACUAAAAAUACAAAAAAUUAGCCGAGCGUGGUGGCAGGCGCCUGUAGUCCCAGCUACUAGGGAGGCUGAGGCAGGAGAAUGGCGUGAACCUGGGAGGCGAAGCUUGCAGUGAGCCGAGAUCGCGCCACUGCACUCCAGCCUGGGCAACAGAGACUCUGUAUCAAAAAAAAAAGAAAAAAGAAAAAAAUUUGGGCAAAAGAGAAAAAAAGGACAGAGUUUAGUUCUCAUAGAGAUGGGACAUUUUUCUGGAAAAUGAACUUUUCUUAGCUCCAAAGUUCCCACUUAAUUCUGCCUAGGAAGAUUUGGUUUCUUUGGUUUAGAAGUACAUCCCGUUUUGGGGUAAUUACUCACUCCAUCCAAGCUUUAAACUUAAAGUUCAGAUUCUCUAUCAGUUCUGUUGUGUAUUGCCUGUCUCCUAGGACGGCAUCUGUGUACAGCAGGGUUCACGUCCUGGUGCUGUCCUCUGGGUCCUACCAGCUUUGAUCUGCAUAAACUCUUGAUCUUUGUAAGGUGAUCUCUAGUCCUUCCGCACCUGCUGCAGAUCUCCUUGGUCCCACCUAGUCUUCCAGAGGGGACAGUGCGCCUAUUGCUGAUAUCAUUUUUUCUCUGUCAGGUGUGGGACCACAAAGCCUGCACACUCUGCAGCAUUCUCUUGCCGGCCUCAGGCCUCUUCCAAUCCACCAAUCCCCUCUACAUUCCUUCGACCCUCACUAGACUUGCGGAAACACCUGCCUCUCUCCUCAUUCAGGCAGGCCAGAGAGGUACUAUUUUGAGCUUUUUUUCUCUGCAGCCUACCAACUACCAAUUCUAAGUCACUGUCCCAACCUGUCAUAAGUAUGGGGAAGCUUUUGAGAUGGUUUCCUUCCGAUAGUUCCAAACAAAAAAUAAAAAACAAGCCCUAUCAAUUCUUUAAUCUAUCAUCUGCUGCCCCAUCCCUCAUACACACACCUACACAUAUACACAAGGGCCAGGGUGGCUGAGGCACUGGGUCCCUACUCAGUCUACCAUCUGCUCCUUAGCUUCAAAUAGCUCCUGCAUCCUUGUGCAGGUCAGAAAAAGUUUCCAUGCCUUCCUUUUGUAAGAGGUGUUUGAACCAGAGCGACUCCAUCUUGAAUAGGGGCUGGGUAAAAUAAGGCUGAGACCUACUGGGCUGCAUUCUAAGUCACAAGAUGAGGGACAAGGUCAACACAAGAGUGUGUUCCCCUCACUUAUGACAGGUUGGGACAGUGACCUAGAAUUGGCAACAGGGUAGGUAAAACAGCAUGUGGUAAAGAAGUCAGCGAAAACCUACCAAGAUGAUGAACGUGACCUCUGGUCGUCUUCACUGCUCUGGUCGUCUUCACUUCGCGACCUCUGGUGGUCUUCACUGCUCAUUAUGUGCUAAUUAUAUUGCAUUAGCAUGCUAAAAAACACUCCCACCAGAGCCAUGACAGCUUGCCAAUGCCAUGGUCAACGUCAGGAAGUUACCCUAUAUGGUCUAAGGGAGAACUCUCGGUUCCGGAAAUUGCCCACCCCUUUCCCAGAAAACUCUUGAAAAAUCCACCUGUUGUUUAGCAUAUAAUCAGGAAAUAACCAUAAAAUAGACAACCGGCAGUCCUGAGGGCCUGUGGAGUAGCCAUUCCUUAUUCCUUCACUUUAUUAAUAAAUAAACUUGCUUUCACUUUA